UCAAAUGAUAGAACAAAAGAUUUGUGAUCCAUUGGUGAAAAUUUUAUUAUUUUUGGACUUAUAUUUUAAAAGAUAUGCAUGUUUGAAAAACAUGAGUCGACCCAUGAGUCGACUCAUGGCACAUGAGAUGAUUGGCACGCUGAAUUUUUGGAUGGCACAAACUUGGCACACCCUGUGAGUCGACCCUCAAGGCAUGAGUCGACCUCUACGGGUUUUGAGCCAAUUUUACAGAACCUUGCUUCCCUUUUGGUUUUCUGGUGUUUUUCCACACAGGUCGACCCAUG
rnacentral:lncRNA from 1 species